AACGAACGCUGGCGGCAUGCCUAACACAUGCAAGUCGAACGAAGCCUUCGGGCUUAGUGGCGCACGGGUGCGUAACGCGUGGGAAUCUGCCCUUGGGUUCGGAAUAACAGUUAGAAAUGACUGCUAAUACCGAAUGAUGUCUUCGGACCAAAGAUUUAUCGCCCAAGGAUGAGCCCGCGUCGGAUUAGCUAGUUGGUGAGGUAAAGGCUCACCAAGGCGACGAUCCGUAGCUGGUCUGAGAGGAUGAUCAGCCACACUGGGACUGAGACACGGCCCAGACUCCUACGGGAGGCAGCAGUGGGGAAUAUUGGACAAUGGGCGAAAGCCUGAUCCAGCAAUGCCGCGUGAGUGAUGAAGGCCCUAGGGUUGUAAAGCUCUUUUGUGCGGGAAGAUAAUGACGGUACCGCAAGAAUAAGCCCCGGCUAACUUCGUGCCAGCAGCCGCGGUAAU
rnacentral:rRNA from 1 species